CUAUUAAAAAUUCCUGUUUUGGGACUUCCCUGGUGGUGCAGUGGUUGGGAAUCUGCCUGCCAAUGCAGGGGACAUGGGUUCGAGCCCUGGUUAAUAAACAGGCAACUGUUUAUUAACUGUUUAUAAGCAGGGCAGGUCAUGCCCUGCUUGCCUCUUACUAAGACUGAUUGUCAGUUGCCCCUUUCUGCACCUUUAAAGCCAGCAGUGUUGCAUCUCUCUGACCAUUCUUCCACAGUUGCAUCUCUUUCUCUCUCUUCUAUUGCCUCCCUCUUCCACUUUUUUUUAUUUUAGAAAUACCACAUCUUUAUCCAUUCAUCUGUCGAUGGGCAUUUAGGUUGCUUCCACGUCCUGGCUAUUGUAAAUAAUGCUGCAAUGAACACUGGGGUGCAUGUGUCUUUUUAAAUUAUGGUUUUCUCAGGGUAUAUGCCUAGUAGUGGGAUGGCUGGGUCAUAUGUUAGUUCUAUUUUUAAUUUUUUAAUGAACCUCCAUACUGUUCUCCAUAGUGGCUGUAUCAGUUUACAUUCACACCAACAGUGCAAGAGGGUUCCCUUUUCUCCACACCCUCUCCAGCAUUUAUUGUUUGUAGAUUGUUUGAUGAUGGCCAUUCUGACCGGUGUGAGGUGAUACCUCAUUGUACUUUUGAUUUGCAUUUUUCUAAUGAUUAGUGAUAUUAAGCAUCCUUUCAUGUGUUUGUUGGCAAUCUGUAUAUCUUCUUUGGAGAAAUGUUUAUUUAGGUCUUCUGCCCAUUUUUGGAUUGGGUUGUUUGUUUUCUUGAUAUUGAGCUGCAUGAGCUGCUUGUAUAUUUUGGAGAUUAAUCCAUUGUCAGUUGCUUCGUUUGCAAAUAUUUUCUCUGAUUCUAAGGGUUGUCUUUUUGUCUUGUUUAUGGUUUCCUUUGCUGUGCAAGAGCUUUUAAGUUUCAUUAGGUCCCAUUUGUUUAUUUUUUUUUAAUUUCCAUUUCUCUAGGAUGUGGAUCAAAAAGGAUCUUGCAGUGAUUUAUGUCAUAGAGUGUUCUGCCUAUGUUUUCCUCUAAGAGUUUGAUAGUGUCUGGCCUUACAUUUAGGUCUUUAAUCCAUUCUGAGUUUAUUUUUGUGUAUGGUGUUAGGGAGUGUUCUAAUUUCAUACUUUUACAUGUACCUGUCCAGUUUUCCCAGCCCCACUUAUUGAAGAGGCUGGAAGCCCUCCAUGGUAUAUUCUUGCCUCCUUUAUCAAAGAUAAGGUGACCAUAUGUGCGUGGGUUUAUCUCUGGGCUUUCUAUCCUGUUCCAUUGAUCUAUAUUUCUGUUUUUGUGCCAGUACCAUACUGUCUUGAUUACUGUAGCCUUGCACUGUUGGUGGAAAUGUAAACUGAUACAGCCACUAUAGAGAACAGUAUGGAGGUUCCUUAAAAAACUAAAAAUAGAACUACCAUACAGCCCAGCAAUCCCA